UCUUGUGAUAAGCUCAACGCUAUACCAUUUGAGCUGGCUGAUAUACCUAACCUUUGCGAGAUGAAGCUGGAUAACACAAUCAAAGCGGUCAAAUCUGCAAAAGAUAUACUGGAACAUAAGAAAACUCAAAACAUGGUAUUCAAGUUCAGCAUAUUCCCUCCUGAAUCUGAAUCUGAAUCCAAGGCUACACAGUGAAGUUGAAAGGAGAGAAUCGGGACUUCGAUCUGAGGUCAUGUGUAUGAUGUCGCGACAUUUCAUGUUUUCUGUCGUCCAGUCAUCUGAUAAGGUUGUUCCAAUAAAGAAAACCUGUUUGGCUUUUGUGAUUUGUAAUACGCUAAAUAAAUGGAGUAUGUACUCCCUGGAGUUGUUUUUUUUUUCGAGUUUCUGAUCAGUUGGAGUGUUUUCUUUUUUCAAUCGUAAGCAUGUUUGCUUCUUUCACUAUUCUGUUGUAUUUGAUUUGUUUCAGUGUAAAACAUACAGUUGCUUUUAUCUUUCAAUAAAGUGUUGUGUGUUUUAAUAUGAA